rnacentral:rRNA from 1 species
GACGAACGCUGGCGGCGUGCCUAAUACAUGCAAGUAGGACGCAGUUGCGAACGGGUGAGUAACGCGUAGGUAACUACCUAUUAGAGGGGGAUAACUAUUGGAAACGAUAGCUAAUACCGCAUACUAGUAGAUGGACCUGCGUUGUAUUAGCUAGUCGGUAGGGUAAUGGCCUACCUAGGCAACGGUACAUACCCGACCUGGGGAGGAGAUCGGCCAAAAUGGGAAUGGGACAAGGCCCAGACUCCUACGGGGGGCAGCAGGAGGGAAACUUCGGCAAUGGGGGGAAACCUGAACGAGCAACGCCGCGUGAGGGAAGAAGGUUUUCGGAGCGUAAAGCUCUGUUGUUAAGGAAGCGGUACUUAACCAGAAAGGGACGGCUAACUACGUGCCAGCAGCCGCGGUAAUUC